CCUACGGGGGGCAGCAGUGAGGAAUAUUGGUCAAUGGGCGCGAGCCUGAACCAGCCAAGUCGCGUGAGGGAAGACGGUCCUAUGGAUUGUAAACUUCUUUUGUAGGGGAGCAAAACACGCCAAGCAUGGCGUCUCGUGAGUACCCUAAGAAAAAACAUCGGCUAACUCCGUGCCAGCAGCCGCGGUACUACGGAGGAUGCGAGCGUUGUCCGGAUUUAUUGGGUUAAAAGGGAGCGCAGGGGGAAGAUAAAGUCAGCGGUAAAAUUGAGAGGCUCAACCUCAUCGAGCCGUUGAAACUGGUAGUCUUGAGUGAGUGAGAGGUAUGCGGAAUGCGUGGUGUAGCGGUGAAAUGCAUAGAUAUCACGAAGAACUCCGAUUGCGAAGGCAGCAUACCGG
rnacentral:rRNA from 1 species